AUGCACUCAAGGAAGGAAUGUAUGUGAUUGCGGAUGUCGAUCCUCAGUCAAGGAUCUCUAAGUUGCUUUAGGAAAUAUUUGUUAAGGGCUCAUAUUUGUAAGGGGGACCUGAGAAUUGGCCUCACUUGUUUUUUCAAAGGUAUGUGCGCAAGUGUAAGUUGUUUGUUUCCUGAUACACCAGUAUCCCAUAUAAAAUGGUGCCAAUUGAUAGCUGGCUCAGGAGCCAUGCCUGUCAAUGAAGAGAAAAAGUGUCGGCCCUUAGCUAUUUAGGAUAGGACACACAUUAUUAAUGCUGGCAUCUCCUCAAAAUUUUCUUCCAGUCCUUUUGAGACUAACAGCUGUCUUCUAUGAAAAAUGCUAGCACUGUCAUAAGAAAAAAUUCAUUCUCUUUGAUGAACAUUUGGGAACUUUAAGUGGGUGGGUGGAGAAAGAGUGUGAUCACAGAUGGCCUGUCAUUCAGCUGUGCCUUUGGAUAGGGCACCUUUUCAGCUUCGGGGAGAAAGUGAUGGAACAUUCUGGGGGAUAACUCUAGCUUCCUGGAUGUAUCCUUGGGAGAAGAGCUACUCAUCUCUGCUGCAUCAAGAUGAACAACCCAGCUUUGCCUAAGCUAAUCUUUUGAAGGCAGCCACCAGGAAGGGCAGGGUAAUUGAGGAAAGAAAGCACAGCAGGGUGAAUACCAUCAAGAAGGAAUAUGGUGAGUGCAACCAUCAAAGGACCUAGCUAGUUAUAAUAGUGACAUACCAAACUGGGACUCUUUUUGUCCUCUCUUACUGAUCUCUUGUACCGCUGGGCUGAACCCAGGUCACUGCUCAAGCUAGGCAAGUACUCAUCAUUAAGCUACACCCUAGUCACCAAAGUUAAGAUGUCACCAUUGUUUCUGGUUAAUAACUCCUUCUCCACUGGAGGCCAUACAAGCCUGAGUUUCUCCUACUCUUGCUCUUGUCUUACCUCCUACCAACCUUUCUAUAUAGGGACCAGCCAUCACAAAAUCAUAGGAUUUGCUGGGGCUGGUUGUUCAUGCUGUAAUCUCAGUAGAGGCAGAGCUGAAGCAAGUUUGGGAUCAGUUGAACUGUGAUCCUAACUAGUCUUAAUCAAUAAAAACCCGGAGUCACAUAUCGAGGGUGAAAGCUGAAAGAUCAGAAAAAGCAGAGGAACAGCCCCUAGAAACUUCUUACCUCUAUGGGGGUGACCCUAUCUCUACCCACUUUAUAUUCUUAUCUCCACCUCCCUAGUGCUGGGAUCAAAGGUAUGAGCCACCACCGCCCAGCUCUACUUCUCUUUUAGACUGGUUCAAUCUCAUGUAGCCCAAGGUGGCCUUGAACUCCUGAUCUUCCUGCUUUCUCCUCCCAAGUGCUGGAAUUAAAGGUACAAACCACCACUGCCUGGCCUCUAUGGUCUAGCUCCACACUCUGAUCUCCAGGCAAGCUUUAUUUGUCAAAACACAAAGCAUCAGAUAACAGUCAGCCUAGGCUAUAGAGUGAGAAUACAUCUCAAAAACCAAACCCAGGAAAUAAACAACAAAACCAAACCCAACAAUAACAAAACUGUUUGAUUGUAUCCUUGUUUGAUAAUAUUAUCCUGAUGGGUCUUGCUUUAUCACCUAGAGAGGGAAUACUGCAGAAUAGCAAAAAACACUGAUGAACACAGGCCCUCCCUGAUUUCCCCAUCCAGUCUACUGUAAUUCAACUGCAAUGAUACAGCCAUAAGGCACAGGACUCAGAAGGCAGUUUCCAAGUAUGGCAGGUCCAGAGAAGUCCUGUGUUCCUUCCUCUGGACCUUUUAUUUUGCAUCUUUUCAUGUGUCCCCUUUGUAAACAGAUAAACUUGCUUCCCUGAGUCUGUGAGCAGAUGAGCAAAUCAGUCAAAGCUAAAGAAGGAAAUAUGGAAAGCAUGGUUGAUAGUCAGCAGGUCAGAACAUGAGUAAAGAACCUGGGGCUUGCAACUUGCAUCUAAAGUGGAGGGCAGGAGUCAGGAGAAUGGUUCGAUAGGUAAAGGCCUUUGCAGCAGAGGCUAACCACCAGAGUUUAAUCCCUGGAAACCACAUGGUAUAUAAAGAAUAUUGAAUAUUGUAACUUGUCCUCUGACAUCCUCCAAUGCACCAAUUUUUAAAAAAAGUAAUAAAGAGGAUAGGAAGAUAGCUCAGCGGGUUAAGAGUGCUUGCUACCAAGCAUGGAGAACUAAGCUCACUUCCUAGAACUAAUAUGGUGGAAGGAAAUAACCAACACCCUCCACACACGAGACACACACACACACACACACACACACACACACACACACACACACAACUAAAAAAUGUAGUUAGGCAUGGUGGUGCACACCUUUAAUCCCAGCACUUGGGAAAUUGAGGCAAGAGGACUGAGGCCAGCCUAAGCUACAUAGUAAAUUUUUAAAAAUCAAAUCAAACACUGCUACAGAACAAACAAGAAUAAUAAACUCAGAUUUGAUGUUUUAAGUGGAGUGAAAGGCUACCUCUCUAUAUCCUUACCAUUGCUGAGCGAAUCUGUGCUCCCGGGGCUGUGCUGUCUGGAGACCAGCUCAGUCCCAGUUUUCCUCAUCUCUGUGUUUUCAUUAAAUCGCCUUUUCCAAUAGUUGAGUUCUUCACGAUCAGAUUCCUGACAGCGCCUCAGAACCGCCAUGGAGCGCCUUGUUUUCUCUACCAUUUCCAUAAUGCAGUUCAGGGCCUGAGCCAGAGAGAAAGUGAGGCACAGGGCUGAGGACCGAACCCAGGGCUUUUUAGCGCUCUACCACUGAGCUAAAUCCCCAACCCCAUGGACUCACAGAUUUUACAAUCUUAGGAAUAAAGUUUACGUCUCAAAAUCA